rnacentral:rRNA from 1 species
GCAGUGUACCCGCGGCAAGACGGAAAGACCCCGUGAACCUUUACUAUAGCUUGACACUGAACACUGGUCCUUGAUGUGUAGGAUAGGUGGGAGGCUUUGAAGCGUGGACGCCAGUCUGCGUGGAGCCGACCUUGAAAUACCACCCUUUAAUGGCUGGUGUUCUAACGUAGACCCGUAAUCCGGGUUGCGGACAGUGUCUGGUGGGUAGUUUGACUGGGGCGGUCUCCUCCCAAAGAGUAACGGAGGAGCACGAAG